CCUACGGGUGGCUGCAGUGAGGAAUAUUGGUCAAUGGACGAGAGUCUGAACCAGCCAAGUAGCGUGAAGGAUGACUGCCCUAGGGGUGGUAAACUCCUUCUAUAAAGGAAUAAAACGAGGCUAGUGUGCCUUUUUGCAUGGACUUUAUGCAUAAGAAUCGGCUAACUCAGUGCCAGCAGCCGCGGUAAUACGGAGGAUGCGAGCGUUAGCCGGAUUGAUUGGGUGUAAAGGGAGCGUAGAUGGGUUGUUAAGUCAGUUGUGAAAGUUUGCGUCUCAACCGUGAAAUUGCAAUUGAUACUGGCGAGCUUGAGUACAGUUGAGGUCGGCGGAAUUCGUGGUGUAGCGGUGAAAUGCUUAGAUAUCACGAAGAACCCCGAUGGCGAAGGCAGCUUACUGAACUGUGACUGACGUUGAUGCUCGAAAGUGUGGGUAGCAAACAGGAUUAGAUACCCCAGUAGUC
rnacentral:rRNA from 1 species